rnacentral:rRNA from 1 species
UGCGCCUUGCCAGCCCGCUCAGAAACUUAAAGGAAUUGACGGGGGCCCGCACAAGCAGCGGAGCAUGUGGUUUAAUUCGAAGCAACGCGAAGAACCUUACCAAGACUUGACAUCCCCUGACAGCUGUUGAAAGGCAGUGUCUCUUCGGAGCAGGGAGACAGGUGGUGCAUGGUUGUCGUCAGCUCGUGUCGUGAGAUGUUGGGUUAAGUCCCGCAACGAGCGCAACCCUUAUCCUUAGUUACCAGCACGUAAAGGUGGGGACUCUAGGGAGACCGCCGGGGACGACUCGGAGGAAGGUGGGGACGACGUCAAAUCAUCAUGCCCCUUAUGUCUUGGGCUACACACGUGCUACAAUGGCCGCAACAGAGGGAAGCGAGAGCGCAAGCUGGAGCAAAACCCUAAAAAGCGGUCCCAGUUCGGAUUGUGGGCUGCAACCCGCCCACAUGAAGUCGGAGUUGCUAGUAAUCGCGAAUCAGCAUGUCGCGGUGAAUGCGUUCCCGGGCCUU